AAUGGACGCAAGUCUGAACCAGCCAUGCCGCGUGAAGGAUGACUGCCUAUGGGUUGUAAACUUCUUUUAUAUAGGAAGAACCUCUCUACGUGUAGAGAACUGACGGUACUAUACGAAUAAGGACCGGCUAACUCCGUGCCAGCAGCCGCGGUAAUACGGAGGGUCCAAGCGUUAUCCGGAUUUAUUGGGUUUAAAGGGCCCGUAGGCGGGGUUUUAAGUCAGUGGUGAAAGCCUGCAGCUCAACUGUAGAACUGCCAUUGAAACUGGAACUCUUGAAUGUGAUUGAGGUAGGCGGAAUAUGUCAUGUAGCGGUGAAAUGCUUAGAUAUGACAUAGAACACCGAUAGCGAAGGCAGCCUACCAAGUCAUUAUUGACGCUGAUGGACGAAAGCGUGGGGAGCGAACAGGAUU
rnacentral:rRNA from 1 species